rnacentral:rRNA from 1 species
GACGUAGGAGGCGAGCGUUGUCCGGAUUCAUUGGGCGUAAAGAGCGCGCAGGCGGCUUGGUAAGUCGGAUGUGAAAUCCCGAGGCUCAACCUCGGGUCUGCAUCCGAUACUGCCCGGCUAGAGGUAGGUAGGGGAGAUCGGAAUUCCUGGUGUAGCGGUGAAAUGCGCAGAUAUCAGGAGGAACACCAAUGGCGAAGGCAGCUCGCUGGAACGGUACUGACGCUGAGGCGCGAAAGCGUGGGGAGCGAACAGG